ensembl:lncRNA
UUGCUCCUUGGUUCCCACAAGCUGCUGAGGGCCUUUCCUGGCUUGGAGCCACACCCAACUUAUCAGCAUGGUCAUCUUCUUUCCAAAAUUGAGCCUACCUACCAGAGGGACCAUGGUUCACUAGAUCACCUCCGGAGCUGUUAGUUACAACAAUACCCGUGGUUUAUCGAAUGAUUUCCACAUGACUGAAGCCAAGUUAAAUACAUACAUCCUGUCAUCUGAUGGCCAGAACAGCUUAAUGAGGCACUGCCUUUCUCGACCAGGAUGGCAGCAAAGACCAACUAGACCCAUUUCAGCAGCUCACCCCACAUCUUAGACUCCACAGAAUCUUCACCUUCCUAGGAACAUGUCCAGAAUGGACUCUGAGGGUCAAAGAAGAGAACUAACCUCCAGGUUCCCCAUGGAGCAGCCGCAAGAAGAGGUAAAGCAGGCAGUCCUCAGGCUGAGCGAAGGAACAUUCUCAAGUUUUUAGGUAACAACAAAGGUCUAAAUAUUUCUACCUGGAGCUGGCUAACAGCCUUAGGGACAAGUUCCUCAGCUUGACUUGAGAGAAAACAGCUCCAGACCGAAUAAUUUUUUUCUUUUCACUUUCCACCCCUGGGAUUUAAUUGAAAAUAUGUAUUCACUGAAGUCUGUUCCCUGCCCUUUUCCCUCCUUUUCUUCUUUCCUUCUCACGGAGCUGAUUCUCUUUGCAGGAUUGAGGGCUAGUGGACAUUCACAUGGGUCUCCCUUCCCUGCUUUCUUGGGCACGAACAGUCGCCCUCUGACAUGAUGGUUUAUAGUCUGUGGGCCUCUUUGGUCUGACAAACAGGAAAAAUUCCUCUUGACACUAAUUGUACCAGUGGCCAAGAAUUACAGGCUGCAAGCUAGCUGCCCCAGCCCGCUGGACCAAGCAGGUUCCCUUCCCCUCUGCGCAGCAAGUUCCCAGGACCCGCCGCCUCCACACCGCACUCCCCAAGCCCACCAACACCCACUGGUGUUGGUCUCCAACCUAACUUUGAGUUCUCUAUGUGAAGAGAUAUUUUCAGCAAGUCCUGGACUCUCUACAUGAGGUACAGCCAAUCUCACAAGUUGCUUCUCAAAGGCCAGAUAUAUCAUUUCCUCCUACUUGAUAGAACUCUUAGGUUAAAAUGAGAUCGUGCAUGUAAAGCACAGAACACAAGCCCAGCACACCAUAAGCUCUCAACAGAUGUUACUUAGUGUUCUUUCUAUUAUUGUUAUUUUUCAAGCCACUCUUUGUUCAUGGCUAUUUAUAUCAGAAAAAAAAA